rnacentral:rRNA from 1 species
AUUGAACGCUGGCGGCAGGCCUAACACAUGCAAGUCGAGCGAGCGGCGGACGGUUGAGUAAUGUAUGGGGACUGCCCGAAAGAGGGGGAUAACUACUGGAAACGGUAGCUAAUACCGCAUACUAUCGGAUAACCCAUAUGGGAUUAGCUAGUGGGUGAGGUAAUGGCUCACCUAGGCGACGAUCCCUAGCUGGUCUGAGAGGAUGAUCAGCCACACUGGGACUGAGACACGGCCCAGACUCCUACGGAGGCAGCAGUGGGGAAUAUUGCACAAUGGGCGAAAGCCUGAUGGAGCCAUGCCGCGUGUAUGAAGAAGGCCCUAGGGUUGUAAAGUACUUUUAGUCGGGAAGCGUUACCUACAGAGAAAGCACCGGCUAACUCCGUGCCAGCAGCCGCGGUAAUAC